GAGAAGACACUCAUGGAGGAGUCGGCCGAGC
rnacentral:piRNA from 1 species